rnacentral:rRNA from 1 species
UGGGGAAUAUUGGACAAUGGGCGCAAGCCUGAUCCAGCCAUGCCGCGUGAGUGAUGAAGGCCUUAGGGUUGUAAAGCUCUUUCGCCUGUGAAGAUAAUGACGGUAGCAGGUAAAGAAACCCGGCUAACUCCGUGCCAGCAGCCGCGGUAAUACGGAGGGGGUUAGCGUUGUUCGGAAUUACUGGGCGUAAAGCGCACGUAGGCGGACCAGAAAGUUGGGGGUGAAAUCCCGGGGGCUCAACCCCGGAACUGCCUCCAAAACUAUUGGUCUAGAGUUCGAGAGAGGUGAGUGGAAUUCCAAGUGUAGAGGUGAAAUUCGUAGAUAUUUGGAGGAACACCAGUGGCGAAGGCGGCUCACUGGCUCGAUACUGACGCUGAGGUGCGAAAGUGUGGGGAGCAAACAGGAUUAGAUACCCUGGUAGUCCCACACCGUAAAACGAUGAAUGCCAGUCGUCGGGGUAGCAUGCUAUUCGGUGACACACCUAACGGAUUAAGCAUUCCGCCUGGGGAGUAC